GCCCUUUCGUGUUUGUAUCGCCUGCAUGAACACGAAGAUAAACUUACUUGUUAAUCACAACAAUGCCAGCUCCAUUGAGAACAAUGGUUUCCCAAAUUAGGCGUUUAGGUACGAACUUCACUUCAGUAAGGAAUUUCUCGUCCGAGGUUGAAGGAGCCAAGGAGGUUUCUGAUAAAGACGUUUAUAAAAAGGCAGGUGCACAAAUUGCGAAAUUUUCAGCUGCUGGAUUUGGGGGAGUGACUUUUACUACUUGGUUGCAGUACAAAGCCCAUGGGCAAGCACCAAGCAUCUUGGGGUUUUCAUUCGGCAAAUAAGCGUGAGAGAUGGUGAUCUUAGGUUAUGUAUAUAUCUCUUAAUUAAGACUCUAAAAAUUGCCACUUUGUUUCCUAUGUAAUUAACAUGUGAUACAUCUAUUACCUACUUAUAGUCUCUAUCUCUUACAUGGUGAAUGAAUCUAUUACCUAC